CGAAGCAACGCGAAGAACCUUACCAGGCCUUGACAUGCAGAGAACUUCCAGAGAUGGAUUGGUGCCUUCGGGAACUCUGACACAGGUGCUGCAUGGCUGUCGUCAGCUCGUGUCGUGAGAUGUUGGGUUAAGUCCCGUAACGAGCGCAACCCUUGUCCUUAGUUACCAGCACGUUAUGGUGGGCACUCUAAGGAGACUGCCGGUGACAAACCGGAGGAAGGUGGGGACGACGUCAAGUCCUCAUGGCCUUUAUGACCAGGGCUACACACGUACUACAAUGGCCGAUACAAAGGGCAGCGACACUGCGAGGUGAAGCCAAUCCCGUAAAAUCGGUCUCAGUCCGGAUUGGAGUCUGCAACUCGACUCCAUGAAGUUGGAAUCGCUAGUAAUCGUGGAUCAGCAUGCCACGGUGAAUACGUUCCCGGGCCUU
rnacentral:rRNA from 1 species